GGGGACUUGGCUUAGUUGGUAGAGCGCCUGCUUUGCACGCAGGAGGUCAGGAGUUCGACUCUCCUAGUCUCCACCA
rnacentral:tRNA from 1 species